AUUGAACGCUGGCGGCAGGCCUAACACAUGCAAGUCGAGCGAGCGGCGGACGGGUGAGUAAUGUCUGGGAAACUGCCUGAUGGAGGGGGAUAAAUACUGGAAACGGUAGCUAAUACAGCAUACCAUCAGAUGUGCCCAGAUGGGAUUAGCUAGUAGGUGGGGUAAUGACUCACCUAGGCGACGCUCCAUCGCUGGUCUGAGAGGAGGCCCAGCCACACUGGAACUGAGACACGGUCCAGACUCCUAUGGGAGGCAGCAGUGGGGAAUAUUGCACAAUGGGCGAAAGCCUGAUGCAGCCAUGCCGCGUGUGGGAAGAAGGCCUUCGGGUUGUAAAGCACUUUCAGCGGGGAGGCGUUACCCGCAGAAGAAGCACCGGCUAACUCCGUGCCAGCAGCCGCGGUAAUAC
rnacentral:rRNA from 1 species